ACAAACUUGGUCAUUUAGAGGAAGUAAAAGUCGUAACAAGGUAACCGUAGGUGAACCUGCGGUUGGAUCAUUACCGAAGAUCUAUAUUUGAUAUGGAGCAGAGGGGGGCGUCUUGUGGGGGUCUAAAUAUCCCUCUUGGCGGCUUUUCUCUUGAAAGAUGUGUCUGCGGCAGAUGCGAUAAAAUGUCGGCACUGAAGUCGUCCUCGUAAGAAAGGGGUGUUGGGUUCCUUGUCGGCCAUUUUGCAUCCAUCUUCCGGCACUUGUACGGAGGAUGUCAGGUUUUUACCCUGUUGCCGCCGAAGACUGCGUGUCCCUCUGGGGCAGCGGUCGCCUUUAUCCUUUCCGAGGAAAUACCUCUCUCUUCUUCCGUAUGGUGAAGAGAAAGACGAUGUGAUCGCAAAAACAAAUAAAAAACAACUUUUGACAACGGAUCUCUUGGCUCUCGCAUCGAUGAAGAACGCAGC
rnacentral:misc_RNA from 1 species